CGUCAAGUCCUCAUGGCCCUUACGUCCAGGGCUACACACGUGCUACAAUGGCCGGUACAGUGGGUUGCGAAACCUGCGAAGGGGAGCUAAUCUCAAAAAAACCGGCCUCAGUACAGAUAAGAGUCUGCAACUCGACUCCUUGAAGUCGGAAUCGCUAGUAAUCGCUGAUCAGCAUGGCAGCGGUGAAUACGGUUCCCGGGCCUU
rnacentral:rRNA from 1 species